rnacentral:rRNA from 1 species
AUAGGAAGAUAAAAGGCAUCUUUUAUCUUUUAAAAGACCUAGUAAUAGGUAUGCUUUAGGAGGGGCUUGCGCCAUAUUAGUUAGUUGGUAGGGUAAUGGCCUACCAAGACGAUGAUGUGUAGCUGGACUGAGAGGUUGAACAGCCACAUUGGGACUGAGACACGGCCCAAACUCCUACGGGAGGCAGCAGUAGGGAAUUUUCGGCAAUGGAGGAAACUCUGACCGAGCAACGCCGCGUGAAUGACGAAGUACUUCGGUAUGUAAAGUUCUUUUAUCAAGGAAGAAAAGCAAAUGGCGAACCAUUUGUUUGCCGGUACUUGAUGAAUAAGCCCCGGCUAAUUAUGUGCCAGCAGCCGCGGUAAGACAUAAGGGGCAAGUGUUAUCCGGAAUUAUUGGGCGUAAAGGGUGCGUAGGCGGUCUAGUAAGUCAGUGGUGUAAUGGCAACGCUUAACGUUGUCCGGCUAUUGAAACUGCUAAACUUGAGUUAGAUAGAGGCGAGUGGAAUUCCAUGUGUAGCGGUAAAAUGCGUAAAUAUAUGGAGGAACACCAGAGGCGUAGGCGGCUCGCUGGGUCUUAACUGACGCUGAGGCACGAAAGCGUGGGGAGCAAACAGGAUUAGAUACCCUGGUAGUCCACGCCGUAACGAUGAGUACUAAGUGUCGGGUUAAACCGGUACUGAAGUUAACACAUUAAGUACUCCGCCUGAGUAGUACGUACGCAAGUAUGAAACUUAAAGGAAUUGACGGGACUCCGCACAAGCGGUGGAUCAUGUUGUUUAAUUCGAAGAUACCCGAAAAACCUUACCAGGUCUUGACAUGUUUUUGCAAAAUGAUAGUAAUAUCGUGGAGGUUACCAGAAACACAGGUGGUGCAUGGUUGUCGUCAGCUCGUGUCGUGAGAUGUUAGGUUAAGUCCUAAAACGAGCGAAACCCUUAUCGUUAGUUGCCAGCACGUUAUGGUGGGGACUUUAACGAGACUGCCAAUGAUAAAUUGGAGGAAGGUGAGGAUCACGUCAAAUCAGCAGGCCCCUUAUGACCUGGGCUACAAACGUGAUACAAUGGCUGUUACAAAGGGUAGCUGAAACGCAAGUUCUUGGCCAAUCCCCAAAAACAGUCCCAGUCCGGAUUGAAGUCUGCAACUCGACUUCAUGAAGUUGGAAUCGCUAGUAAUCGCGAAUCAGCAUGUCGCGGUGAAUACGUUCU